rnacentral:lncRNA from 1 species
CCCUACUCUUACACUUGCACACACCUGGCGCCAAUUGUGUUUUCUUCUUGCUUGGUCAUAGGGGGCCUUUUCUUUGUUCUUCCUUUGAUCAUUACCAUAUAGUAAAGCAUGAGACAUAGCUUUUGAUCAAGAUGGUGCAUUCCCUCUAGUCUAGACAUUCAUUUCCUUUACUCAAACAGUGAGGAGAUACUCUUUCGAGGGACAGCUACGUACCUGAAAUAAAUUAGUUUCUUACCAAAAAUGUGAUGAUAUACCAUUGGUAGUACAAAAAAUAUUCAUAUUUU